UUAGGAAUCUGCCUAUUAGUGGGGGACAACUUCUCUAAAGGGAUGCUAAUACCGCAUACGUCCUACGGGAGAAAGCAGGGGACCUUCGGGCCUUGCGCUAAUAGAUGAGCCUAAGUCGGAUUAGCUAGUUGGUGGGGUAAAGGCCUACCAAGGCGACGAUCUGUAGCGGGUCUGAGAGGAUGAUCCGCCACACGGGGACUGAGACACGGCCCAGACUCCUACGGGAGGCAGCAUUGGGGAAUAUUGGACAAUGGGGGGAACCCUGAUCCAGCCAUGCCGCGUGUGUGAAGAAGGCCUUUUGGUUGUAAAGCACUUUAAGCGAGGAGGAGGCUACCGAGAUUAAUACUCUUGGAUAGUGGACGUUACUCGCAGAAUAAGCACCGGCUAACUCUGUGCCAGCAGCCGCGGUAAUACAGAGGGUGCAAGCGUUAAUCGGAUUUACUGGGCGUAAAGCGCGCGUAAGGUGGCCAAUUUAAGUCAAAUGUGAAAAUCCCCGAGCUUAACUUGGGAAAUUGCAUUUCAAUACUGGUUGGGCUA
rnacentral:rRNA from 1 species